CACGUAGGGUGCGAGCGUUGUCCGGAAUUAUUGGGCGUAAAGAGCUCGUAGGCGGUGUGUCGCGUCGGCCGUGAAAACCUGCAGCUUAACUGUGGGCUUGCGGUCGAUACGGGCAUCACUGGAGUUCGGUAGGGGAGACUGGAAUCCUGGUGUAGCGGUGAAAUGCGCAGAUAAUCAGGAGGAACACCGGUGGCGAAGGCGGGGUCUCUGGGCCGAUACUGACGCUGAGGAGCGAAAGCGUGGGGAGCGAACAGG
rnacentral:rRNA from 1 species